rnacentral:rRNA from 1 species
UGGGGAAUAUUGGCCAAUGGGCGAAAGCCUGAUCCAGCCAUGCCGCGUGUGUGAAGAAGGCCUUUUGGUUGUAAAGCACUUUAAGCGAGGAGGAGGCUACUUAGAUUAAUACUCUAGGAUAGUGGACGUUACUCGCAGAAUAAGCACCGGCUAACUCUGUGCCAGCAGCCGCGGUAAUACAGAGGGUGCGAGCGUUAAUCGGAUUUACUGGGCGUAAAGCGUGCGUAGGCGGCUUCUUAAGUCGGAUGUGAAAUCCCUGAGCUUAACUUAGGAAUUGCAUUCGAUACUGGGAAGCUAGAGUAUGGGAGAGGAUGGUAGAAUUCCAGGUGUAGCGGUGAAAUGCGUAGAGAUCUGGAGGAAUACCGAUGGCGAAGGCAGCCAUCUGGCCUAAUACUGACGCUGAGGUACGAAAGCAUGGGGAGCAAACAGG